UGGUCUUGAAGCAUUGCAAGCAAAAUGAGAUCUUCAGCGCUGGUACUGCUGUGCGUAGUGAUUUGCGUUGCAUACGCAAGUUGCAACGAAAGCUCAUCUUCGAUACGCGAGAGACGUCAAGUCGACUUCUUGUCGAGUCCUCAUCUCACGUAACUUCCAUCGCCAGGCCUAACGCCAGUUCAAAAGGACUUGAUUAAAGCCUUGGUCGAAGCUAUGAAGAAAACGACAGCGAAUGCUGGAGCCGUUCUUAAAAAAUUGUCUGAAUUCGACGCUGUGUUGAAUGUAAUGAAAAAGAAAACCGAUGCAGUUCUGGGCGGUGUAAAAUAUGGUUAUGAAAGUGUCAGUACUCAGGUAAAGGUGAAUUCUGUCGCUGUUGAGUUACAUACAGUUUUACACAAGUUAAUACAAUAACGAUAUUAAUG